GAUGAACGCUGGCGGCGUGCCUAAUACAUGCAAGUCGAGCGAACGGACGAGAAGCUUGCUUCUCUGAUGUUAGCGGCGGACGGGUGAGUAACACGUGGAUAACCUACCUAUAAGACUGGGAUAACUUCGGGAAACCGUAGCUAAUACCGGAUAAUAUUUUGAACCGCAUGGUUCAAAAGUGAAAGACGGUCUUGCUGUCACUAAUAGAUGGAUCCGCGCUGCAUUAGCUAGUUGGUAAGGUAACGGCUUACCAAGGCAACGAUGCAUAGCCGACCUGAGAGGGUCAUCGGACACCCUGGAACUGAGAAAGGGCACACACUCGUACGGUAGGAAGCAGUAGGGACUCUUACGCAAGGGGCGAAAGCCUGACGGAGCAAAGCCGCGUGAGUGAUGAAGGUCUUAGGCUCGUAAAACUCUGUUAUUAGGGAAGAACAUAUGUGUAAGUAACUGUGAACAUAUUGACGGUACCUAAUGAGAAAGCCCCGGCUAACUACGUG
rnacentral:rRNA from 1 species